CUCCUGGUACAGGCAGAAACGGCCAGGUGGGGGGGGGUGCUAGCCCAAUCGGCGGGACCAGAAAGCUCCAACUCGUACUCCGGAGGAUCUCCAUACUGAACCUUUAUCAGUAGAAGUUCAUUCAGAGUCAGAGCACAGGGAAUGACGUCCGACGCAAAAAUUGGAUGAGACCCAGCCCUAGAUAUGGGUUCGUCUACAGUAUGAGGGUUCUGAGGGACUGAGGCAGACGAACUCCCGGAACUGCUAGAGAUGGAGGUACCAGAAGACAUUUCAAGUAAGAACCCUAAAAAUCCCGGAGAGACCAGGCAAAAUAAGAGGUGAAAGGUUCGUGGGGGACCAAACAAGUGGAAUGCGGUAGAAGAAAAAUGGAGAAGAAGGAGCACCUAGAUG
rnacentral:lncRNA from 1 species